GUGAGUAAUAUAUCGGAACGUACCCGGCAAUGGGGGAUAGCUCGGCGAAAGCCGGAUUAAUACCGCAUAUGCCCUGAGGGGGAAAGUGGGGGACCGUAAGGCCUCACGUUGUCGGAGCGGCCGAUAUCAGAUUAGCUAGUUGGUGGGGUAAAGGCCUACCAAGGCGACGAUCAUGUAGCGGGUCUGAGAGGAUGAUCCGCCACACUGGGACUGAGACACGGCCCAGACUCCUACGGGAGGCAGCAGUGGGGAAUUUUGGACAAUGGGGGAAACCCUGAUCCAGCCAUGCCGCGUGAGUGAAGAAGGCCUUCGGGUUGUAAAGCUCUUUCGGACGGAAAGAAAUCCUAUUCACUAAUACUGAGUGGGGAUGACGGUACCGCAAGAAG
rnacentral:rRNA from 1 species